UACCUGCAGCUCGAGUGGUAACCGUUAUUAUUGGGCCUAAAGCGUCCGUAGCCGGUUUGGUAAAUAUCUGGGUAAAUCGUGAGGCUUAACUUCACGAAUUUCGGAUAGACUGCCAGACUUGGGAUCGGGGGAGGUCAGAGGUACUCCAGGGGUAGCGGUGAAAUGUUGUAAUCCUUGGAGGACUACCGGUAGCGAAGGCGUCUGACUAGAACGAGUCCGACGGUGAGGGACGAAGCCCUGGGGCGCAAACCGGAUUAGAUACCCGGGUAGUCCAGGGUGUAAACUAUGUGGGCUUUGUAUUGGAGGUCCCACGUGGGCGUCCAGUGCAGAAGAGAAGUUGUUAAGCCCACCGCCUGGGAAGUACGGUCGCAAGGCUGAAACUUAAAGGAAUUGGCGGGGGAGCACAGCAACGGGAGGAGCGUGCGGUUU
rnacentral:rRNA from 1 species